rnacentral:piRNA from 1 species
UCCCAGCCUACCAGAAACACCAAAAC